UUCAAGGUAGCUGUUCCAACAUGAACGGCAAUCUUGACUAAUUAUAUGUGAUACACCCACUCUGACUCAUGAGAUAGCACAGAAGGAAAGGGAGAGAGGAAGGGGAAGAAGGUGAAGAGAAAAGGGAAGAUGAGUUGGAAAAGGGAAGAAAAGCUCAUCUAAUGCCAAAAUCACUCUAGUGUCCACCAUCCCUACAGCUGUGUCAGAGACAACUGAUGUAAGUAAGGGCCCCAAACACUUCUAGGAAUUGAGAAGUCCUCUGCAAAUUUGCAACAUUACAAACAGAAGUGACAAUGAACAUGUUCAAGGCUCUCAGGUUUCCCUUUUUUCCUGCUCAUGGGAUCCAAAGGCUAUGCACUUUUUAGCAGAGAUCAUGCUGACAUCACUAUGAGUUACUUGGGACCCAAUGGAAACGACAACCACAAACAGGUGCAUAGACUGCAGACUGGACUAUGGACUUCAGCCAUCUCAACUCGUGUGAUACGCUGAGACUUGUGACAGAGGCAAGGUAAGCUACUUUUCCUAGCUUUGUUAAGACACCUGGGAAAUUCCUUCCUUGCUCAAGCAAUCACAGGCGCAUGUGACUGACACCAACAAGCAGUAGAAGAAGUGGAUGACAAAGAAGCAAUUCUGGGUUUUAGAGUCUGUACAGGCAGGUAUGACCUGGCAUGUGUUCAGAAGAGCAUGGAAACUCCUAUGGGGUUGCAGGAGGAGAGUAUAAACUCACGUGGGAAACUAAGAGGAGGACAGCAAACUCUGGUACCCUCUUUCUGGAUGGAUUACACUCUAUCCUUAAGCUAAGAUGAAGAAAAAUGCUGGAGCCUGGAUACUGUAUUGGUAGAGCUGCAUAAGGCAAGCCCAAAGACAUUUUUUCCACAUUAGUUUGGCAUUCAUUAACAUGCCCUGCAGUUGCAUUUAUAACAUGCCAUUUUUCAGAUGACCGGACAACUUAUUUUCAUCUGCCUUUCAAUUCAUUCAUCUGUCAUUUGGACCUUUCUUCUAGAAGAACAAAGGAUGAGGAUAUCUCCCGUAACAAAUGGAGAAUUCCAGAUAACUUGAGAAAUAAGAGAUACACAGAUUCAUCCUAGAUCCAUCAGGGCUCUUGACUUCAAGAACAGCACCAGUCCCAGGCCAGCUCCUGGAAUUACUGAUGGUGCACUGUCCAGCUGAGGUACAACAGUUCAAGUAAAGCCACAGGAUGGCCAUGACACAGAUCAGGCUCAGAACAGUCAAUGCUGAAUUAGAUUAAGAGCCUCCAUUGUCACAGGGACAGGCUGUCUCUGUCUGUGCUCCCACUCCUGCAGGCACACAGAUGUAUCAACUAAUCAAUCAAGGCUACCACUUCUGGUAUCAAGCUGCUCCUGGAAGAUGCACCAUUAUUCUCCCCUAGCCCUGUACUAGAGGUAACACUCCUACAUACCCAAGGCUGACUCUGCAUUACGCAAGCUCAGGUGGCCUCACAUCCAUAGCCCAGUUGUGACCCACAGCCCAGACUACCACCCACAGAUCCGUGACAACAUCCUGCAUGUGCCUUCAUCUGUCCAAGGAAUGCAACAUCUUUACCCAGAGCACGCACAGAGAUAACACCCACUGCUUCUUCCUACUGCCCCCACCCAUGCUCAUCACAAACCCAUGCUUAUCAGCAUUGGAACUAACAGCAGACCCAUAUCAGCCUCAGGAUCCUGGUGCACCCCAGAAGUUGACAGAGCAAUGGCAUCAAUGCACAAAGGAAGGGCAAAUGCUAUUAACUACCUGGACUUCUGCAAGGCUUUGACAUGGUUCCACACCUCAUAAUUAUCUCCAAACUGGGGAGAUAUAGGUUUGAAGGAUGGACUAUUUGGUGGAUAAGGAAUUGGUUGGAAGUUUUGCAGCCAGGGGGUUGUUGUCAAUAGUUCUAUGUCCAGGUGAAGGCCAUCUACAUGGGUAGAUAGCACAGAACAAGGUAGAACAGUUUUAAUCUUAAAGAGGGGAGAUUUAGUUUAGAUGUCAGGGGAAAGUUUUUUAACUGAGAGGGGGGUAAGGUUCUGUCACAGGCUGCCCAGAGAGACUGUGGAUGUCCCAUCCCUGGAGAUGUUCAAGGCCAGGUUUGAUGGGGCCCUGGGCAACCUGCUCUAGUAUCUGAUUUAGUGAUUGGGAAACCUGCCUACCGCAGGAGGUUGGAACUAAGUGAUUUUUGAAGUCAGUUCUAACACAAGCCAUUCUAUGAUUCGUUGGCUGACUGAGCACCUUUUAAUGCUCCUCUACCUGAUGAAGGGAGGAUGGGCCUUCCCAUGCUUCUUUACAAAUAUUAGAGAAUUUCACACAGCUUCUGCAGGACAAAAAUUUUCUUUCCUGCACUGGGGAAAAUAAGGCAAGCAGCUUGAGCAUCACUUCUGCUGACUUUCAUCACCAAGCCUUAGCUUCUCUUGCAUCAGCACAGUGUAAUGCUAUAACAUGAUAGAAAACGCAGCAAAGAUAGCAGAGUAGCAAAGUCCAAGGCUGCAACAAGCAAGGACAAGCUCAAAAGCAACAGCCAUGGACAAAGAAGCAAAGAAAGUGUCAUGGUUUUAUGAUUUUCAGUUAUUGGUACUCCACAUCACAACAUCAUGUAGUGAAUGUACCUGGAUCUCAGAAGAG